rnacentral:rRNA from 1 species
GAUGAACGCUGGCGGCGUGCCUAACACAUGCAAGUCGAGCGAUUCUCUUCGGAGAAGAGCGGCGGACGGGUGAGUAACGCGUGGGUAACCUGCCCUGUACACACGGAUAACAUACCGAAAGGUAUGCUAAUACGGGAUAAUAUGCUUUAGUCGCAUGGCUGAAGUAUCAAAGCUCCGGCGGUACAGGAUGGACCCGCGUCUGAUUAGCUAGUUGGUAAGGUAAUGGCUUACCAAGGCGACGAUCAGUAGCCGACCUGAGAGGGUGAUCGGCCACAUUGGAACUGAGACACGGUCCAGACUCCUACGGGAGGCAGCAGUGGGGAAUAUUGCACAAUGGGCGAAAGCCUGAUGCAGCAACGCCGCGUGAGCGAUGAAGGCCUUCGGGUCGUAAAGCUCUGUCCUCAAGGAAGAUAAUGACGGUACUUGAGGAGGAAGCCCCGGCUAACUACGUGCCAGCAGCCGCGGUAA